UACGUAGGGUCCGAGCGUUGUCCGGAAUUAUUGGGCGUAAAGGGCUCGUAGGCGGUUUGUCGCGUCGGGGAGUGAAAACUCAGGGCUCAACCCUGAGCGUGCUUCCGAUACGGGCAGACUAGAGGUAUGCAGGGGAGAACGGAAUUCCUGGUGUAGCGGUGGAAUGCGCAGAUAUCAGGAGGAACACCGGUGGCGAAGGCGGCUUGCUGGGCCUUACCUGACGCUGAGGAGCGAAAGCGUGGGGAGCAAACAGG
rnacentral:rRNA from 1 species